ACAUGAAUCCCAAGUUUAUUUAGGCAUUUCAGGGACUUAUUGUGGGUGAUGGAGAUCUCCACAGCACUCUUCUCUUGGUUGGUGGGUAGCUGUUGAAAAAUUCAUAUAAAUAGAGAUGUCAGAUGUAGGUAAAAUAGAGAAAUGUUGAUUUGAUUGUGAACUAAAUCCCACAACUUAUAUUAUCUUUGAUAAGAAAGGUUUCGUUUAGACCAUGAAAAUUGGAUAAAUGAAGCUGAGCAUUAUUUUACUGAAACAAGAAGGCACACAAAGUGAAGGAGAUCGCAUACUUGACUUUAGUUUGUUGUUCCUUUGAUGGGGAACUUGUAUCAUUGUUAAGAGCUUAAAUCCUGUAAAAUAGCAUGGAUCCAUCUGGAUCUUUAUUCAGUCAAAAGUUUAUAUGAUGUGUAGACUAUUCAAGCUUGCCAGCCUUGAGCCUGGAGCCUGCUUGUUGUAGAGUUGUCCUAUGUUCUGUAGAUUUGCUUGAUAUUAUAAACAAUUAUGAUAAAAUUUUUGUAAACAAUUUUGUUCUUUAUUUCUUUCAGUAUCAGAUUCAGUAUUUUCUCCAUCUUAUGGCAGCAUAUAUUUUCAACACAGAGUGAGGGCAGUGUCAUUCCUCCUGUCCACUACCCCAACUUCUACUCCCAACACUACCACAACAAUGAGCGGUCUGGUGUGGUGGCUGAGGAUUCUUUUGAAGAGGACAAUGCUUCUGCUUCAUCUGAGCAGGAGGUUCUGGAAUGUAACUCCCACAGAUGGCAGGGAAACACUGCAUAUCUUCCCUCCCACAACAGCGAUGCACUUAAUGAAUUGGGCCAAGAUAAUUAGUGAAAGCUUUCUGUGUUAAAGAGAUGCAGCUAGUGGGCCAAUAUAUAUACUGAUCGUUCAAUUAAUCCUUUAUGUCAUAAAACUUCUCUGAAAAAAUCUAGUGAAUAAUUUUUCCUCUCUCACUGCACUGUCCUUGAUCUAAAUUACAUAUUAAAACUACACAUGAUAGUGUAAUGAUCAGUAUGCUUGGCUCACAAACCAUAUAUAUAUAUAUAUAUAUAUAUAUAUAUAUAUAUAUAUAUAUAUAUAUAUAUAUAUAUAUAUAUAUAUAUAUAUAUAUAUAUAUAUAUAUAUAUAUAUAUAUAUAUAUAUAUAUAUGCUUGGCUUUGUCUCCAAACUCUCCCCCAUAGAGAGACUGUAUUAACCUGCAGAAAUAAAGCUAUCAUUCAGGGAAACUGGUUUGUUUGCCAAACAAACAUUACAUUGCUGAAUAUUCUGUGGCACCAAAUGCUUUGUCAGGAAUUGUGGCAAUGAUAUUUCAAUCCUUGUCUUUGCAUCCUACAAUUUGUAUGCUGAACAUAAACCUUAUCAACAAG